rnacentral:rRNA from 1 species
UUUGCCAGCAGCCGCGGUUAGACCAAGAUGGCCAAAUCAUAUUAUAUAGGUUGAAAAGGCAGUUAGGCAAAAUACUAAGUCAAACGAUUAUUUAUUAGGAAGUGAAAUUCAUACAUAAAAUUAAUAGAUCAUAGCGCGCUGCUACGCUGAACCUGCGACAGUUCUUAGGGAAACUGGGAUUAGAUACCCCACUAUUAUUUACUGUAAAUUGAUUUCGUCUACCUGAGUACUAUGAAUAAAAGAAUUUAAAACUCAAAGAGCUUGGCGGUGCUUUAGACCACUUAGGGGAACCUGUCUCGUAAUCGAAAAUCCGCGCUACACCUAACCUUUUAUUGUCAUCAGUUUGUAUACCGUCGUCGUCAGGUAACUUUAAAAAAUAUAGAAGUUAGCCAAAAAAUAACAUAAAUUUAGACGUCAGAUCAAGGUGCAACUUAUAAAAAGGAGAGGAUGGGUUACAAUUAAAACUUAUAAUACGGAAGGCUAGUUGAAAUUCUGGCCUCAAGGAGGACUUAAAAGUAAAAGUUAAAUUAUAUAAAUUCAUUGAAUUUGGCUCUGAAGCGUGCACACAUCGCCG